rnacentral:piRNA from 1 species
GAGAAAGAUGUCAAACGUGCGAGUGU